rnacentral:lncRNA from 1 species
CAACUAUCAUGUUCUUCAAUAAUAUAGGUACCUCAUUUAUGUCUUUCAAAACAUUUUUAACUUAAUUUAUUUUUGCUCCUCAACCAUUUUGUGAAAAGUCUUAUCACUUGCCGUUUUCCGUGUUCUGUUGUCGUUUCAAACAAAUUUCCGGAAAUGCACGAAGUUGCAUGUGAUAAACGUCACGGAAAUUAACGGAAAGGCAUGUGAUAACAUUCCGGAAGCAGUCAAUAAAGGUACCUUUAUCAGCCCGCUAUGGAGUUUCUUAGGAAUCUGAUCAAUAAACCUAGUAAUCCUUUCAUAGCCUUUUGAUAUUUUCAAAUGUUAUUGAACUGUAAAAUUUUAGUAAUAUUUUAUACAAGUAUAUGAUAAAAUUAUAUA